UUUUCCUACGGGGCGCAGCAGUGGGGAAUAUUGGACAAUGGGGGAAACCCUGAUCCAGCGACGCCGCGUGAGUGAAGAAGUAUUUCGGUAUGUAAAGCUCUAUCAGCAGGAAAGAAAAUGACGGUACCUGACUAAGAAGCCCCGGCUAACUACGUGCCAGCAGCCGCGGUAAUACGUAGGGGGCAAGCGUUAUCCGGAUUUACUGGGUGUAAAGGGAGCGUAGACGGCAGCGCAAGUCUGGAGUGAAAUGCCGGGGCUUAACCCCGGAACGGCUCUGGAAACUGUGCAGCUGGAGUGCAGGAGAG
rnacentral:rRNA from 1 species